rnacentral:lncRNA from 10 species
AGAACGCGCCGGGCGCUGGUGGCAGGUGGUACAGGCACGUGGAUCCACCGACCACAAGGACGGAUUCGAUUGGAUUCUGAUUGACCGGCGGACCAGCUCCAGAGUAAUUGUCUAUGGCUGCCCCUGCAAUGACUGAUUGAUUGACAAUGGCUGAGAGACCAGCAAGUGAGUCGCUCCGAGAAAGCGAAGGAGCCCACUCUUGUGCGGCGCUUUGGGAAGACGCCUGUUGGUUUUGACCCCGAAUAAGAAGAGGAAGCUGAGAGCGGGCUGACUGUGGUCCAGUCCUACUUCGAUUCAGUGUGAACUGACACUCUGAUCUGAAGACGCUCAGGCCUUUGUCAUUUCAGCACCCCAGAUGCUAUUUUCCAUUCGAAGAAUGCCGCCACCAGGUGGCGGUAUUUUAACAUGGCCAUGCAAUCCGGGAGGCUCCAGUGAUGGGGAGCGGCUGUAAAUACAGAUGAAGCUUUGCUGCCUGCCUGCUCACUGCCUGCCUGCUCACCUCCUGCUCUGCGGCCCAGUUCCUAACAGGCCACAGACAGGUACCAGUCUAUGGCCCAGAUGAUGCAGACCCCUGUCUUAAACAAAAACAAAAAACCAAAGCACACUUAAUGUGAGAUCUA